rnacentral:rRNA from 1 species
GCGAACUCAGUGCCAGGAGCCGCGGUAAGACGGAGGGUGCAAUCGUUAUCCGGAAGCAGUGGGUGUAAAGGGGCCGCAGGCGGUCUUAUAAGUCAGUGGUGAAAGCCUACAGCUCAACUGUAGAACUGCCAUUGAUACUGUAAGACUUGAAUUCGAUCGAAGUGGGCGGAAUAUGACAUGUAGCGGUGAAAUGCUUAGAUAUGUCAUAGAACACCGAUAGCGAAGGCAGCUCACUAGGUCUGGAUUGACGCUCAGGGACGAAAGCGUGGGGAGCAAACAGGAUUAGAUACCCCAGUAGUC